rnacentral:rRNA from 1 species
CAGUAGCCGCGGGAAUACGAAGGGGGCUAGCGUUGUUCGGAAUUACUGGGCGUAAAGGGCGCGUAGGCGGCCAUUCAAGUUAGAUGUGAAAGCCCUGGGCUCAACCUAGGAAUUGCAUUUGAUACUGUUUGGUUUGAGUUCGGGAGAGGUGAGUGGAAUUCCCAGUGUAGAGGUGAAAUUCGUAGAUAUUGGGAAGAACACCAGUGGCGAAGGCGGCUCACUGGACCGACACUGACGCUGAGGCGCGAAAGCGUGGGGAGCAAACAGGAUUAGAUACCCCCGUAGUCCCUGUCUCUUAUAA